AAAUUGAAGAGUUUGAUCAUGGCUCAGAUUGAACGCUGGCGGCAGGCCUAACACAUGCAAGUCGAACGGUAGCACAGAGAGCUUGCUCUCGGGUGACGAGUGGCGGACGGGUGAGUAAUGUCUGGGAAACUGCCCGAUGGAGGGGGAUAACUACUGGAAACGGUAGCUAAUACCGCAUAACGUCGCAAGACCAAAGUGGGGGACCUUCGGGCCUCACACCAUCGGAUGUGCCCAGAUGGGAUUAGCUAGUAGGUGGGGUAACGGCUCACCUAGGCGACGAUCCCUAGCUGGUCUGAGAGGAUGACCAGCCACACUGGAACUGAGACACGGUCCAGACUCCUACGGGAGGCAGCAGUGGGGAAUAUUGCACAAUGGGCGCAAGCCUGAUGCAGCCAUGCCGCGUGUAUGAAGAAGGCCUUCGGGUUGUAAAGUACUUUCAGCGAGGAGGAAGGCGUUGUGGUUAAUAACCACAGCGAUUGACGUUACUCGCAGAAGAAGCACCGGCUAACUCCGUGCCAGCAGCCGCGGUAAUACGGAGGGUGCAAGCGUUAAUCGGAAUUACUGGGCGUAAAGCGCACGCAGGCGGUUUGUUAAGUCAGAUGUGAAAUCCCCGGGCUCAACCUGGGAACUGCAUUUGAAACUGGCAAGCUUGAGUCUCGUAGAGGGGGGUAGAAUUCCAGGUGUAGCGGUGAAAUGCGUAGAGAUCUGGAGGAAUACCGGUGGCGAAGGCGGCCCCCUGGACAAAGACUGACGCUCAGGUGCGAAAGCGUGGGGAGCAAACAGGAUUAGAUACCCUGGUAGUCCACGCCGUAAACGAUGUCUACUUGGAGGUUGUGCCCUUGAGGCGUGGCUUCCGGAGCUAACGCGUUAAGUAGACCGCCUGGGGAGUACGGCCGCAAGGUUAAAACUCAAAUGAAUUGACGGGGGCCCGCACAAGCGGUGGAGCAUGUGGUUUAAUUCGAUGCAACGCGAAGAACCUUACCUGGUCUUGACAUCCACGGAAGUUUUCAGAGAUGAGAAUGUGCCUUCGGGAACCGUGAGACAGGUGCUGCAUGGCUGUCGUCAGCUCGUGUUGUGA
rnacentral:rRNA from 1 species